AUUGAACGCUGGCGGCAGGCCUAACACAUGCAAGUCGAACGAGUGGCGGACGGGUGAGUACUGUCUGGGAAACUGCCUGAUGGAGGGGGAUAACUACUGGCAACGGUAGCUACUACCGCAUACCCUCAGAUGUGCCCAGAUGGGAUUAGCUAGUAGGUGGGGUAACGGCUCACCUAGGCGACGAUCCCUAGCUGGUCUGAGAGGCUGACCAGCCACACUGGAACGGAGACACGGUCCAGACUCCGACGGGAGGCAGCAGUGGGGAAGAUUGCACAAUGGGCGCAAGCCUGAUGCAGCCAUGCCGCGUGUAUGAAGAAGGCCUUCGGGUUGUAAAGUACUUUCAGCGGGGAGGCGUUACCUGCAGAAGAAGCACCGGCUAACGCCGUGCCAGCAGCCGCGGGAAUUC
rnacentral:rRNA from 1 species